NNGCGGGUGGCGAAAUGGCAGACGCGCAUGGUUUAGGACCAUGUUCCGAAAGGAGUGGAGGUUCAAGUCCUCUCCCGCCCA
rnacentral:tRNA from 1 species